CCUGUUCCCUAAAUGUCUCUGCAAGGUCCUGACAAAGAGGAUUCCAUCAAAGCAUUUCCUGGAAGAAAGAAACCAUGGCGUGAAUUCUCCACAAGUGUUGACAAUUCUGUAGAAGAGGGCUAAACGUGUUUUUGGACUUCAAUGGAACCAAACUGCGUCACCUGAGAGCGGAGGAGGUGAGAGACCGCCCCUUAUGGAACAAUAACAAAAAAUCACCUCCCCAGUGGCUUAAAAGGAGAGCACACAUACAGGCAGACAAUAUUGCAAGACUUUUAUUCUCUCUCACACACAUUCACAGAUAAAGUUUAGGCAUCGAAUAGUUGGUUCCUGGGCCUUAAACCUCCCAACUUCCUGAUCCAUGCUCCAAAGGACAGAUCUAGGAUCAGCUCACUCUCGUCAAAUCCAAACCAGGACCUUAAUAAUCCACAAAGGGGAAAACGGACCUGAGACCAUCAUUUAAACCCCACGUCUUCCUGCCCAGACACUGCUCUCCAUCCAGAGUUCCUCCUGUGCUCCAGCUGUCCAUCCGUCUAUCCACACCCCAGCCAACCAGCCAUGGGUCUGAUGAGUGAAGACAUGAAUUGUUGCGUCUGCUUCCAACCCUACUCUCGCAGGGAGAAAAUCCCCCGGGUGCUCCACUGCGAACACACCUUCUGUGGGCCGUGCUUGGAGACAAUCUCCAGGCUCCAGAGUGGCCUCCUGACCGCGUGCUGCCCUCUGUGUCGCUGGAUCACCUGUAGCCAGGUCAGCCUACCCUUUUCUGGUUCUCUGGUUGUCAACACUGAGAUCUGGGACCAGAUAGCAGACAGACAGGAGGAAGAGGAGGAGAUGGAGGCGUGGAUACCAAAUAACAGACAGACACAGACCUCCACACAGUACAAAUGCUCUUCAUUGGGGCAUUCUGGUGUGAGGAUCAAGCACCAGAGUUUCUGGAGGAGAAUGAGGCACAAUGGUCAGAGAGCACUAAAAGAAGGGAAGAAAUUAAGGUCUUGGUUGUGUUUUGAUAGAUGAUGUCACCGUAGUAGUUUAGGACAGGAAGCAGCAGUUGGGAUACCAAGGACUUUCUUUUUUAGUAUUUCUUUUUUAUAUUUUAUACAAUAUACUGUCUACAAUCUUUAUAAUUAAAACAAAUAUGUAACCUUUAUUUGAACAUGUAUUUAUUUUGAGACCUAGUUUCUCUUUUUCAAAAGAACCCUGUAAUAUGAUUGUCCCUUUAUGUCUGAAGCGCAUAUUUUUUGUACUCAAGUGAUAUUUAUUGCUAUCAUUGUAAAAUAAAUUAAUCUGCUUUAAAAUAACU
rnacentral:lncRNA from 1 species